rnacentral:rRNA from 1 species
UGGGGAAUUUUGGACAAUGGGCGAAAGCCUGAUCCAGCAAUGCCGCGUGUGUGAAGAAGGCCUUCGGGUUGUAAAGCACUUUUGUCCGGAAAGAAAUCCUUGGCUCUAAUACAGUCGGGGGAUGACGGUACCGGAAGAAUAAGCACCGGCUAACUACGUGCCAGCAGCCGCGGUAAUACGUAGGGUGCAAGCGUUAAUCGGAAUUACUGGGCGUAAAGCGUGCGCAGGCGGUUUGCUAAGACCGAUGUGAAAUCCCCGGGCUCAACCUGGGAACUGCAUCGGUGACUGGCAGGCUAGAGUAUGGCAGAGGGGGGUAGAAUUCCACGUGUAGCAGUGAAAUGCGUAGAGAUGUGGAGGAAUACCGAUGGCGAAGGCAGCCCCCUGGGCCAAUACUGACGCUCAUGCACGAAAGCGUGGGGAGCAAACAGGAUUAGAUACCCUGGUAGUCCACGCCCUAAACGAUGCCAACUAGUUGUUGGGGAUUCAUUUCCUUAGUAACGUAGCUAACGCGUGAAGUUGACCGCCUGGGGAGUACGGUCGCAAGAUUAAAACUCAAAGGAAUUGACGGGGUCAUAGCUG